AGAGUACAAACUAAUGUGUCAAAAUCGCAGCAUAAUACAGAGCCUUUGGAAAGUCUUCUGAGUUGUGAAGUUUCUCAUUUGAUUUUAUAUUGAGGUGAAUAUAGAGAGCAAAAACAAACAAACAAAAACAGCAUCUAUGCAUUUCAAUGUUGAAACAUAAAUAUUGGUGGUAAAGGGAGGAUGCUGGACAGACUUGGUGUGGCCAAAUGAUGGUGUGCAGGGAAUAUCUGGCAGAUCAGGGAUAUCUUUGAUUUCUAACAGCAUUCCAAUUGAGGUUCUCCUGACAAGUACAGGCAGGUUAAGUGGAGUGCAGUUCUGGCAGCAGCUGAAGCAAAAACCCAGGUCAUGGUCCUCGGUCUUUGACCCAGUUUUUGAGUUUAUUAUGGUCUUGUGAAUCAUUCUUUUGGAUAAGAGAUUUUCUAGUUCUAUAUUGGUUUAGUAGUAGUAGUUUUAUAUCAGUUAAUCUUGAGUUUUGUUUCUCUAGUGCAUCUGAGUUUGUUAUUGAUAGUUCCUGGUUCUUAGUUUUGUUAUGUUAGUUCCCUUUAGUGUCUAGUCUGUUCCUGGUCUCAUAUCGGUCUUGUCAUCAGCGACUCCUGUUCUAGUCUGGUUAGUUUCCAUGUUUCGUUAUCCUUUGUUUUCCUGAUCAUGUUCCCAUGUCUCUCUGGUCUCUCUGUCCUCCCAUGUUAAUUCAUCUGUGGUCAAGUUCACGUGUCUCAGUCUAGAGCUAAGUGUGUGCUGUUUCCUGUUUUAUUUUGAUAGUCUCCUGCCUCGCGUGUAUUAUAUUCAGUUUUUUACUUCCCUUGUCUCCCUAGUCAGUGAUUAGUGUCAGCUGUGUACCCACCUGGGGCCUGUCCCCUCAUGAUCCUGUGUGUAUAUCGUCUCAGUCUUCCUCUGUUCCUUAUCACGUUCUCCCUCACAGUGUCCAGAAAAUGGACCAAUCUCACAGGUGUAAACAUACUGUGGGGUGUGUUUGCCCAUAGUUUCUGCUGUUUCCUUUCUGAAUUUUCCUGUAAAUGACUUGUGCUGUGAUGGCUACCGCUGACCACACCACUUCUCAGCAGUACACUCAGCAACCGACUGCAGCACCUGGGCCCUCUCAGUCCCACCAGAGAGCGUCCUACCAGCCAGCACCAGCUCAGCCCGAUGACCCAGCUGAGCUCAUGACCACAUCACCCAGCCAUGAACAGCCAUUCCUAAGACCACCGCCAUCAUAUGAGGAAACAACUGGUCCUGCCUACCCUGUACAACUGAUGCCUUCCAGCGAGACAGUGUUCAUCCCCAGCGAUCCACUGUACCUAUCAGAGGGUAUUGUGCAUGAGUACAACGGUCUACAGGACAGCACAGACUUCCUAACCAGCUCUGCAUGCGACCCUGAAUUUGUUAUAAGCUAGGCUUAAUAGUCAUAGCGGCCCAAUCAGAUACAAACAUGAUGCAAAAUAUUUGGCUCAAAUGGAAGUAUGUUGAAUGAAGAUGAGACACGGCAGACUAACUUGAUGUAUUUUCAAUUUUAUUCUUUAAACCAGUUUUUAGUGGCUCAAGUUAUUUAGAAAAAUUGAAACAUGAGGUCACUGUUUCUCACUAAUUGUCUUUGGGCUUAUUCCUCAAGAUCUCUGCCUCUUGUCUUUACUCUCUAUUGGGGAAAGUACUUGACAGUCAGAUUCAGUGGUCACCAGUUAGGUGUUUCAGUGUUCAUUAGAAAUGCAUCGAUGGAUGCGCAUGCGAGAUAAAUAUGAACACGUUAAAGAAGCUAAAGUCAGGCGGUUGUACAGAAAAUCAUUGUGAAGUUUAAUAACUUUUGUUAUUAUUUUAUUAUUUUAUUAUAGUGCAUCUCUAGUAUCUGUGGAUAUCAUCUCAUCGCUAUCUAUGAAUUUACUGCAGACCUGCAAAGUGCUGUUAACCUUUUUUUCCCUGUGUAUUUGUGUGCAUUGUCUUGUGAGUCAUGCUACAUGUGAAUAAAUUCAAAGAGUGAAAACAUUUAUCACUGAGGGUUUUUUCUCCAUUCAUGUCAGGUCAGCUGAUCACUCAGGCUUCCUGAACACAUACAGUUCCACUUAGUUAAUACCUAAAAGUGUUUUUGACCAUCAAAUACAACUUUAAAAUUCAUCAUGUCAUUUUGACAAAAUAAGCAUCCUCU
ensembl:lncRNA